ensembl:lncRNA
GCUGCCUUCGCUGUUGGGGCUUUACUGUUGCGUCAAGGCUCUGCUAUUCAUCCCAUGUGCUUCCCACAGUAUUACACGGGCUGAGCUGAGCAGUGUGGCUAUGACUGGACUACCCACGAUGUGCCUCUGGGGAAUAAUGAACCGCCUCUCCUCACAGCGAGCUGUUUUUGCGAGAGACAACGCGCUUUGAUGUGGAUGACGGAGGUGAGGCGUCCCUGUCCCCAGAUGCCCAGACGGUGCGGUUAAGGGGGCUUUAUCGCACUGCAGACAGGAGACCAGCACUCACCCACAGCCGCCCCAUCUUUCACCGCGGCCCGAAGGCCGAAUGUGACAACCGAUGCUCCCCAGCUGCUGCGGGUGGGGGGAGGGGGGGCAGGCCCCCAAAACCACAGACGAAUAAUGAAUGCCACACCAUCGUGAC